GUUGACCUCGGAUCAGGUAGGGAUACCCGCUGAACUUAAGCAUAUACUAAAGCGGAGGAA
rnacentral:rRNA from 1 species